CACAAAAUAUACACAAAUCUUGACUAAAUUACAAUCGAGUGUGUAUCCAGGCUAAUAACAGUUCCCCGGUUGCGCUGUUUAAAAAGCAUACACUCGGUAUUUAUAUCAUUUAGUGAAAGUAAGUUGGAAAAAUGGAGUUUCGAGCGAACAAACGCAUUAAACUAAGUAGCCAAAAGGGUCCAAGUCCCCUUGAUCUCGCAAGAACGUACUGCCAGAAUUACGUUGAUCCACCAGGUUUUGAAGUAAAAACCGUCAAUGAUGUCAUAGGCGAAGGAGUCUUCGCCACUAAGCCUUUUAAAAAACGGAGACUCUCUUCUCGAAUACAAAGGGGAUCUGAUAACACGAGCAAAACGGCAAUUAGAAAAGGAGUAUGAAAAGGAGGGUCAUGACAGCUUCAUUUACUUUUUUAAAUACAG